AUUGAACGCUGGCGGCAGGCUUAACACAUGCAAGUCGAACGAUGAAACUCUAGCUUGCUAGAGAAGAUUAGUGGCGGACGGGUGAGUAACAUUUAGGAAUCUGCCUAGUAGUGGGGGAUAGCUCGGGGAAACUCGAAUUAAUACCGCAUACGACCUACGGGUGAAAGGGGGCGCAGGCUCUUGCUAUUAGAUGAGCCUAAAUCAGAUUAGCUAGUUGGUGGGGUAAAGGCCCACCAAGGCGACGAUCUGUAACUGGUCUGAGAGGAUGAUCAGUCACACCGGAACUGAGACACGGUCCGGACUCCUACGGGAGGCAGCAGUGGGGAAUAUUGGACAAUGGGGGCAACCCUGAUCCAGCCAUGCCGCGUGUGUGAAGAAGGCCUUUUGGUUGUAAAGCACUUUAAGCAGGGAGGAGAGGCUAAUGGUUAAUACCCAUUAGAUUAGACGUUACCUGCAGAAUAAGCACCGGCUAACUCUGUGCCAGCAGCCGCGGUAAUACAGAGGGUGCGAGCGUUAAUCGGAAUUACUGGGCGUAAAGCGAGUGUAGGUGGCUCAUUAAGUCACAUGUGAAAUCCCCGGGCUUAACCUGGGAACUGCAUGUGAUACUGGUGGUGCUAGAAUAGGUGAGAGGGAAGUAGAAUUCCAGGUGUAGCGGUGAAAUGCGUAGAGAUCUGGAGGAAUACCGAUGGCGAAGGCAGCUUCCUGGCAUAAUAUUGGCACUGAGAUUCGAAAGCGUGGGUAGCAAACAGGAUUAGAUACCCUGGUAGUCCACGCCGUAAACGAUGUCUACUAGCCGUUGGGGUCCUUGAGACUUUAGUGGCGCAGUUAACGCGAUAAGUAGACCGCCUGGGGAGUACGGCCGCAAGGUUAAAACUCAAAUGAAUUGACGGGGGCCCGCACAAGCGGUGGAGCAUGUGGUUUAAUUCGAUGCAACGCGAAGAACCUUACCUGGUCUUGACAUAGUGAGAAUCUUUCAGAGAUGAGAGAGUGCCUUCGGGAAUUCACAUACAGGUGCUGCAUGGCUGUCGUCAGCUCGUGUCGUGAGAUGUUGGGUUAAGUCCCGCAACGAGCGCAACCCUUUUCCUUAUUUGCCAGCGGGUUAAGCCGGGAACUUUAAGGAUACUGCCAGUGACAAACUGGAGGAAGGCGGGGACGACGUCAAGUCAUCAUGGCCCUUACGACCAGGGCUACACACGUGCUACAAUGGUAGGUACAGAGGGUUGCUACACAGCGAUGUGAUGCUAAUCUCAAAAAGCCUAUCGUAGUCCGGAUUGGAGUCUGCAACUCGACUCCAUGAAGUCGGAAUCGCUAGUAAUCGCAGAUCAGAAUGCCGCGGUGAAUACGUUCCCGGGCCU
rnacentral:rRNA from 1 species